AUUUAAAUAAUUUAAGAAAAAUAUUGAUUUGUGGAGUCAAAAUUAUGAUGAAAUAUUCAUUUUAAAUA
rnacentral:tRNA from 1 species